UUGGCUUAGAAGCAGCCACUCAUUCAAAGAGUGCGUAAUAGCUCACUGGUCGAGUGAUCCUGCGCCGAAGAUUUCCGGGGCUAAAACUUACUACCGAAGCUACGGCAUCAGUAAUGAUGGGUAGGGGAGCUUCCCAUACGGGGUGAAGCAUGACCGUAAGGACAUGUGGACAGUAUGGGAGUGAGAAUGUUGGCAUGAGUAGCGAGAUGUGGGUGAGAAUCCCACAGGCCGUAAACCCAAGGUUUCCAGGGGAAGGGUCGUCCGCCCUGGGUUAGUCGGGACCUAAGCUGAGGCCGA
rnacentral:rRNA from 1 species